CAAUAGCGUAUACUAAUGUUGUUGCAGUUAAAAAGCUCGUAGUCGGAUUUCAGUUUGCUUACGUUAGAUUCUUUUUGGUUCUUUUCAUAAGCUUACUUCAUGCAAAGAAACUUUCAUGCCAUUUAUUUGGUGUGUUUGGGGACUUGCUCAUUUACUUUGAGAAAAUUAGAGUGUUCAAAGCAGGUAUUUGCCUGAAUAUUACUCUUGGAAUAAUAAUAUAGGACUUCAGUUCUAGUUUGUUGGUGAUCUGGGACCGGAGUAAUGAUUGAUAGGGACAGUUGGGGUCGAUUCAUACUGCAAAGCGAGAGGUGGAAUUCUUGGACCUUUGUAUGAUGAACAACUGCGAAAGCAUUUGACUAGGAUGUUUUCUAUUGAUCAAGAGCGAAAGUCAGAGGAUCGAAGAUGAUCAGAUACCGU
rnacentral:rRNA from 1 species